GCUCAGAUUGAACGCUGGCGGCAGGCCUAACACAUGCAAGUCGAACGGUAACAGGAAGCAGCUUGCUGCUUUGCUGACGAGUGGCGGACGGGUGAGUAAUGUCUGGGAAACUGCCUGAUGGAGGGGGAUAACUACUGGAAACGGUGGCUAAUACCGCAUAACGUCGCAAGACCAAAGAGGGGGACCUUCGGGCCUCUUGCCAUCAGAUGUGCCCAGAUGGGAUUAGCUUGUUGGUGAGGUAACGGCUCACCAAGGCGACGAUCCCUAGCUGGUCUGAGAGGAUGACCAGCCACACUGGAACUGAGACACGGUCCAGACUCCUACGGGAGGCAGCAGUGGGGAAUAUUGCACAAUGGGCGCAAGCCUGAUGCAGCCAUGCCGCGUGUAUGAAGAAGGCCUUCGGGUUGUAAAGUACUUUCAGCGGGGAGGAAGGUGUUGUGGUUAAUAACCGCAGCAAUUGACGUUACCCGCAGAAGAAGCACCGGCUAACUCCGUGCCAGCAGCCGCGGUAAUACGGAGGGUGCAAGCGUUAAUCGGAAUUACUGGGCGUAAAGCGCACGCAGGCGGUCUGUCAAGUCGGAUGUGAAAUCCCCGGGCUCAACCUGGGAACUGCAUUCGAAACUGGCAGGCUUGAGUCUUGUAGAGGGGGGUAGAAUUCCAGGUGUAGCGGUGAAAUGCGUAGAGAUCUGGAGGAAUACCGGUGGCGAAGGCGGCCCCCUGGACAAAGACUGACGCUCAGGUGCGAAAGCGUGGGGAGCAAACAGGAUUAGAUACCCUGGUAGUCCACGCCGUAAACGAUGUCUACUUGGAGGUUGUGCCCUUGAGGCGUGGCUUCCGGAGCUAACGCGUUAAGUAGACCGCCUGGGGAGUACGGCCGCAAGGUUAAAACUCAAAUGAAUUGACGGGGGCCCGCACAAGCGGUGGAGCAUGUGGUUUAAUUCGAUGCAACGCGAAGAACCUUACCUGGUCUUGACAUCCACAGAAGAAUCCAGAGAUGGAUUUGUGCCUUCGGGAACUGUGAGACAGGUGCUGCAUGGCUGUCGUCAGCUCGUGUUGUGAAAUGUUGGGUUAAGUCCCGCAACGAGCGCAACCCUUAUCCUUUGUUGCCAGCGGUUAGGCCGGGAACUCAAAGGAGACUGCCAGUGAUAAACUGGAGGAAGGUGGGGAUGACGUCAAGUCAUCAUGGCCCUUACGACCAGGGCUACACACGUGCUACAAUGGCGCAUACAAAGAGAAGCGACCUCGCGAGAGCAAGCGGACCUCAUAAAGUGCGUCGUAGUCCGGAUUGGAGUCUGCAACUCGACUCCAUGAAGUCGGAAUCGCUAGUAAUCGUGGAUCAGAAUGCCACGGUGAAUACGUUCCCGGGCCUUGUACACACCGCCCGUCACACCAUGGGAGUGGGUUGCAAAAGAAGUAGGUAGCUUAACCUUCGGGAGGGCGCUUACCACUUUGUGAUUCAUGACUGGGGUGAAGUCGUAACAAGGUAACCGUAGGGGAACCUGCGGUUGGA
rnacentral:rRNA from 1 species